rnacentral:rRNA from 1 species
GACGAACGCUGGCGGCGUGCCUAAUACAUGCAAGUCGAGCGAUGAAGAUGGGUGCUUGCACCAAUCUGAAGAGCAGCGAACGGGUGAGUAACGCGUGGGGAAUCUGCCUUUGAGCGGGGGAUAACAUUUGGAAACGAAUGCUAAUACCGCAUAACAACUUUAAACAUAAGUUCUAAGUGUGAAAGAUGCAACUGCAUCACUCAAAGAUGAUCCCGCGUUGUAUUAGCUAGAUGGUGAGGUAAACGCCCACCAAGGCGAGGAUACAGAGCCGACCUGAGAGGGUGGUCGGCCCCCUUUGGACUGUGACACGGCCCAAACCUCUACGGGGGGCAGCCGGAGGGGAACUUUGGCCAUUGGCGGAAGUCUUACCGAGCCACGCCCCGGUGGUGGAGAAGGGCUUCGGGUCGUUAAACUCUGUUUGUAGGGAAGAACGUGGGUGUGGGUGGAAAGCUCAGCAAGUGACGGUACCUACAGAGAAAGCACCGGCUAACUACGUG